rnacentral:rRNA from 1 species
UACGUAGGAUGCAAGCGUUGUCCGGAAUUAUUGGGCGUAAAGAGCUCGUAGGCGGUUUGUUGCGUCGGCUGUGAAAUCCCGAGGCUCAACCUCGGGUCUGCAGUCGAUACGAGCAAACUAGAGUGUUGCAGGGGAGACUGGAAUUCCUGGUGUAGCGGUGAAAUGCGCAGAUAUCAGGAGGAACACCGGUGGCGAAGGCGGGUCUCUGGGCCGAUACUGACGCUGAGGAGCGAAAGCGUGGGGAGCGAACAGG